UUCCUUCGGGGAGAAGAAAUAUGUGACUGAGUGGCGGACGGGUGAGUAACGCGUGGGUAACCUGCCUUAUACAGGGGGAUAACAGUUAGAAAUGACUGCUAAUACCGCAUAAGCGCACGGUCUCGCAUGAGAUAGUGUGAAAAACUCCGGUGGUAUAAGAUGGACCCGCGUUGGAUUAGCUAGUUGGUGAGGUAACGGCCCACCAAGGCGAUGAUCAGUAGCCGGUCUGAGAGGAUGUCCGGCCACACUGGAACUGAGACACGGUCCAGACACC
rnacentral:rRNA from 1 species